rnacentral:rRNA from 1 species
UACGGAAGGCAGCAGUGGGGAAUAUUGCACAAUGGGCGAAAGCCUGAUGCAGCUAUGCCGCGUGUAUGAAGAAGGCCUUAGGGUUGUAAAGUACUUUCAUCGGGGAGGAAAAAAACAAAACUAAUAAUUUUUAUUUCUUGACGUUACCCGAAAAAGAAGCACCGGCUAACUCCGUGCCAGCAGCCGCGGUAAUACGGAGGGUGCUAGCGUUAAUCAGAAUUACCGGGCGUAAAGAGCACGUAGGUGGUUUUUUUAAGUUCAGAUGUGAAAUCCCUGGGCUUAACCUAGGAACUGCAUUUUGAAACUGAAAUACUAGAGUAUCGUAGAGGGAGGUAGAAUUCUAGGUGUAGCGGUGAAAUGCGUAGAUAUCUGGAGGAAUACCUGUGGCGAAAGCGGCCUCCUAAACGAAUACUGACACUGAGGGUGCGAAAGCGUGGGGAGCAAACAGGGAUUAGAUACC